AUAGCUCUGUUUUCCUUUGAUUGCAUGUUCUGGAAGAUACUCAUCUAGUGUCCCCCUAGUUUCCCAUCUUGAUCCACAUGCAUUGCAGAGCACCGGUUUUGCAGUUGGCCCAGGUCUCCAUAGGGGGGUUUCUGUUUGAGUUCACAAUUAAUUAGCAUUUAAAUGGGACAAAAUAGGAAUAAAAUCUUACAGGUAACUUGUCUCAGAAACUAAAGACCAAUGAUCAUUGACAAUUAAGAUUUUCUGUAAAAGGUUUAGGAUGUACUGCACGAGAUUAAAAGCGUCACGAAACUAGAGUACAUAAAGCGGGGAAUAUCUUUGGCGAAACAACAGUAAAUAUCUUUCUGUGAAACAUAUAUAGACUUUAAGGAUGUGUCAACUGCUUUUAUACACACAUUUUCAUCUCCACUUUAUGGUGGAAAGAUUGAAAAGGAUUUGGAUGAUGUGUUAAGGAACCAUGCAAAAUAGUUAACCUCUUGGCAGACUGCAUUUAUAUUGGCGAGGAAGGGUACCAAGGGAACUCCUAGGUUGAGAGUUCUGUCUUGGAACAUAGGGACAUUGGCGAGGAAGUCAAUAGAAUUGGCGAUUAUUCUUAAGAGAAGGAAGAUCUAUAUACCUUGUGUUUAGGAUACCUUAUGGGUAAGAACUAAGACUAGGUAUAUAGGCGGGUUCAAGUUAAGGUACUCAAGAAGUUUAAGGAGUAGGAAUGGAGUAGGAUUUUAGUCUAUGUUGCUCAGAUUUUUCAAAAAUGUCAACAGGUUCAUGUCAGAUGCUCCAAAAGUGGUGCAUUUUGGAGAAUUCGACACGGGUGCGGCAACAAUUUCAGAGAGUCCAAGCACAUAGAUUUUAGAGGUGGGAAUCUUAUGUAUCCUAUAAAUGAAGUCACCAGCAUGAACUGGCUAGCUGCUAUACAUGAUGGAGAAGUUGGCAGUCUGCCAACAAUUUACUUGGGACUACCUCUGGGGGCUAAAUUUAAAUCUAUAAAAAUUUGGGAUAGUGUGAUAGAGACGUGUAAAAAAAUGGGUAGCCAGGUAGAAAACUUACUCUUCUUACAAGGAAAACUAACUCUCAUUAAUUCAGUCCUUGAUGCUUUCCCAACAUUUAUGAUUCCUUUAUUUCCCAUCCUACCAGGGAUUAUCAAAAGGUUGGAUAACAUUAGGAGAAAGUUUUUGUGGCAGGGAAACAAAGAAAAGGAAGGGUACCAAUGACAAAAAAUCUGAAAUUUCAAAGCAAAGCUCUAAGAAUGGAGUGGUUAUGGAGAUAUGCCAAUGACAAACAGUUGUUGUAGAGCAGGGUCGUUGGUGCCAAAUAUGAAGAGGAAAACAGCAGGUCUAAAAUGUGCAUCUAUGCUAGGGAUUGGGAACCAAAUCUACAAUUUAUCCAAGAUGUCCUCAGUUCCUGUAUUGAAAAUUAAUUAACAUUUGGCUCGAGAGAUAAUCUAUUACGGUCUUGGCAACCUUUUUAUUGUUUAAUGGACUCAGAUAUGGAUGUUUCCUUUUCCAGGCGAGUCCUGCUACUGAGAUGCAGCAGCAGGACUUAUUUUUUCUAUCUUACUAUGCUUGCACAUUUAUCUGUCGCUAUUGACAGAAUUUCGUGUAUCUAAACAGAUGUAUUUUUCUUUAUGUCAUUCUUACUGACUUUCAAUUAACAACCACUAUCAUGCCUCACGUCAAGCUAGUUGGGGCGACUCUAUGAAUCUUCAUUAUCUUUUUUCAUUUAAGAUCAUGCUUAGUGAUGUAAAAGUACUUAUUUUGUUUUCAAGAUUACUAAUAUAUUGCACAUGCAUAAUAUUUAUGGAA